AGUUCUACAUUCCGAGUACCACGAUGUGACACUAAUCGUGGUGUUAAUUCAAGUCCUGUUCUCUGAAACCUACUGUUCUUUUACCUCUUCUCACUUGUGCACCAGGAAGAGCUUUUCCUCAACCAUAAAUUCAAAGU